UACGUAGGGUGCGAGCGUUGUCCGGAAUUAUUGGGCGUAAAGAGCUCGUAGGCGGUUUGUUGCGUCGGCCGUGAAAACCUGCAGCUUAACUGUGGGCCUGCGGCCGAUACGGGCAGACUUGAGUUCGGUAGGGGAGACUGGAAUUCCUGGUGUAGCGGUGAAAUGCGCAGAUAUCAGGAGGAACACCGAUUGCGAAGGCAGCUCGCUGGGACGUCACUGACGCUGAGACGCGAAAGCGUGGGGAGCAAACAGG
rnacentral:rRNA from 1 species